rnacentral:lncRNA from 1 species
GUAUGCGGCACAUAUAUAUAGGAGUUAGAGGCAUUGGGAGUGUCAUAGAAGCUAUGUUUUUUGUUUCCACAACAGAGUCAUCCAGCGUGGGCUGGUGGUACAAGCAAACCAGGUGGCAUGAUGUGGUGGUUUGAUGCUCCAUUAGCCAGCCAUGCAAACGCGCAAGAUGACUUUGUUGCUGGAGAAGGGGAUUCCAAGAAGGAAGAAGGAGAGAGUAGGUAGCCAUCCGGUAGACCGCUCAGCUAGCUUGCGUGCUCAGUUUUAGUUGUUCUUGUUCAAGAACAAUUACACAGGCUUCUAGCUAGCUAACUUAACCCACCUUCCUACGGGGGCUUUAUGGCACAAAGGUUACAACCCAAAUCAGGACCAUAGACUCCAGUACUUCUGGCCCACUUCCUGGUACUAUGCUUGGUCCUCGACAUUUCCUCUGGCUCUCCAGGGUGACGAGUGCUGUCAUGUAUUCUCACCUAUAAUAACACAUCAAAGAUAGUUGGACCAAUGAAAAAAUUCUACUCUUUACCAUUAGAGAAAAGUGAAUGGUAAGAUUCAUCAGAUUGACUAUCUGAGCAACCCACAUGUUUUAUUUCUCGAACCCAGCUAAAACCUACGGUUAGCAACAUUAAUUGCUUAAAGACACACUUAUUUUGCAGCUGCAGAAAACAAGUAUCUUCAAGAUUGGGGCGCUUUAUUAGCAUAUAUAUGAUUCUUUUCCUGGGACCUAUGCACUAUGGCGGACACUCUGCAGCAGCAGCAAAACAUGUUUGGUCCAAAAUUAUGACUUAGCAUAUAGAUUCUUUUCGUUGGACAUGUGGAUUAUAUGAAGUGAUUCUUCAGUAAUGGAAGCUAAGAUGUUUAAACCUCCAUUACCUUUUGUCUUUUUCCAAGAUAAUGGAAAAAAAACAAUGUAUUCCAUGUCGAUCAUUACACAGGUUCAUUCAUGUAUUUGACAAAUUAUUGCAUGGUACGAAAUUCAGUAACUACAUAAUAAAGGGUUAAUCACUUAAUACAAUGUAUUUCAAAAGCCUAGCC